GGGUAACCUCGCCCAAGAGAUCGGGAUAACACCUGGAAACAGAUGCUAAUACCGGAUAACAACAGAUGAUGCCUAUCAACUGUUUAAAAGAUGGUUCUGCUAUCACUCUUGGAUGGACCUGCGGUGCAUUAGCUAGUUGGUAGGGUAACGGCCUACCAAGGCGAUGAUGUUUAGCCGGGUCGAGAGACUGAACGGCCACAUUGGGACUGAGAUACGGCCCAAACUCCUACGGGAGGCAGCAGGG
rnacentral:rRNA from 1 species